CGAACCCGCAAGCUUCAAUGUAAACACGAGACGAGACAGCGAGUGAGGACGUGGCAGGCGAUAGGUGUGUCUGUACGUCUGUCUUCCUGUUUUGCUGACUUGCACUACCUCACGCCACCACUGCAGAUACACCGCUAACACUUGUCUUCCGAAAAUUGAAGCUCCCAAGCCUCUAAUCAGCCGCCAUGAUGCUAAAGGCAGUGAUCCUGAUAGGGGGGCCGCAGAAAGACAUGUUAAUACCACGGCUGUUCACGGGCACUCGCUUCCGGCCCCUCUCCCUGGACGUCCCCAAGCCCCUGUUCCCAGUGGCUGGUCUCCCCAUGGUGCAGCAUCACAUUGAGGCCUGUGCUGCUGUGCCUGACAUCCGGGAGAUCCUGCUGCUUGGUUACUUUCCGGCACAGCAGCUCCAGCAGUUUGUGGCCGACAUGAUUGCACAGUACAAGAUCAGAAUCCGUUACCUGCAGGAGUACCACGCCCUGGGCACAGCAGGUGGCAUCUACCACUUCAGGGACCAGAUCAAGUCGGGCAACCCUGACGCCUUCUUUGUGCUGAAUGGGGACGUGUGCGGCGACUUCCCUCUGCAGGAGAUGCUGGACUUCCACACGGGCCUCGCUAUGCCCUCCCUCAUCACCAUCAUGGGCACUGAGGCGACACGGCAGCAGUCCACCAUGUACGGCUGCAUUGUGGAAGACAAGGAGACGCACCAGAUCCUUCAUUAUGUGGAGAAGCCUUCUACCUUCGUGUCGCCGCUCAUCAACUGUGGCGUGUACAUCUGCUCCCCGGACAUCUUCAAGCGAGUCGGGGAGAUCUUCAACUCAAGGCAGGACUUCUACAGCAGCACUGAUGAUGGAGAGGCCACAGAGAGCAUUCAGCUGGAGCAGGAUAUCCUGAUGCCCAUUGCUGGUACAGGGCAGGCCUAUGUGUACACUACUGAUAGGUGGUGGUCACAGAUCAAGACAGCGGGCUCGGCUAUCUACGCCAACAGACACUACCUGCAGCUCUACCACCGCACCCACCCCUCACGUCUCACUGAAAAUGGCCCAAACAAACCCAAGAUUGUCGGGGACGUGUACAUCCACCCUUCUGCCUCAGUAGACCCCUCGGCUGUGCUUGGUCCCAACGUCAGUGUGGGCAAAAACGCAGUAAUAGGAGCUGGCGUGCGCAUCAGGGAGUCUAUCGUGCUGGGCAACUCUACCAUACAAGAACACAGCUGUGUCCUCUACACGGUUGUUGGCUGGAACUCCACCGUGGGGGCGUGGACAAGGCUGGAAGGAACUCCGUGUGACCCCAACCCCAACAAGCCCUUUGCCAAGAUGGACAAUGUGCCGCUCUUCAACACGGAGGGGAAGCUGAACCCAUCCAUUACGAUUCUUGGGAACGACGUGAGGGUGGUGUCAGAGGUGGUGGUGCUCAACUCUAUUGUCCUCCCUCACAAAGACCUCUCCUCUAGCACCAAGAACGAAAUCAUUCUCUAAGUGCAGUUAGUGGCGUCUUGGUGUCGGUCUGUGGCUCCUCGCAUGUUUAGUCCUGGUGCAACGUGACUGUGCCGUCGGAGGUGAUUGUGCUCAACUCCAUUGUGCUGCCAUACAAGGACCUGCCACAUAGCUACAAGAAUGAGAUCAUCCUGUGAGAGGCUGUGGGAUAUGAGUGUGGUUGUCUGUGUUUGUCCUGUGAGGCUCAUUUCAGGUUAAUGUAUGGUCAUGGUCAGAAGGCAAGCAAUGUAACACUCACUCUCUCCGUCUUUAGUUUUUCUUCAGUCUUAGUCCUCUGAUCUGUUUGGAAUCUACCACCUGCCAGGUUUUGUAAGGAGACUAUUAGUAGAUCAGAGGACUUGAAGUGGAAGGAAGAUGCUAAACACAGUGUGAGUGAGUGCAGUGCGUCUUGCUGCUCAUGACCACUACUGUGCCUCUUUGUAUGUGUGUGUGUGUGUGUAUUCUUGUGUUUGUAAGUGUGCAUGUGUGCUUGUUAUUCUUGUGUGUGGUGAAGUAUUGUCUUUGAAGGUAGGGAUCAGCUGAGGUAUUGUCCAGUUGUUAACUUAUUAUCUAAGGAAUGUUAUAAGUAUAUAUUUUUGACACAUUGUUGCUCUUCUAAGCUUUAAAUAAGCUCUUGUCACAGACUAGAAGAUGGAGAUGGUUGUAAUGUAUCAUUGCAAGAGCUUCUCUGUACAUUUCCUGUAGUGUUGGGGUGUGUGGGCAGGCAGUGUAACUUUGUGUAGGCAGUGCAGGCUUCCUUGAUGCAGAGAAUUAUGUGUUGCCUGUUAGUCUUCUGCUCCAGUGCAAUAGUAACUUAAAUCUCCUUUGGUUGAAUAUUUUUGUAGUGAAUUAUGAUCAUACGUAGUAUGUGAUAUUAGUAUAUAGCUCUUAAGAUGCAUGGUGAAUACUGACUGUACAGUUAUCUAUCUUCAAGAUGUUAAUCAAGAAACUGGACCUUUUCAUCAUGUGGGCUUGCCUUCCUCAAUGUACUCUGUCCCCAUUUUGAGUACAUUCUUGCCUCAUGUCCUUCCUCCAUUCUGUACUGAACUAUCUCUGUACCAUCAGCUUCAUUGAUUUCAGAGAAAUUGAAAGAGGUACUAUGAGGAAGUACAGAGAGAGGACAGAAUGGAGAGAGUAAGGAGAGACCAGGAGGAGACAUCAGAGGAUCAGAAUGUACUGAGGGGGGAGGGAGUGAGUACAUUAAGGAAAGCCUUUGGAUGGGGGGAGGAGUGGGAGGGAGGCAGCUCUUUCAUGGAGAGGCAGUGUUAGAGGUUUUUAUUAUUUACAAGGCCAGGAGGACAGAAGGAAGGAAAAGUACAGAAUAAUUAAAUUUUAUUUUUGUAUCAAUAGUCUCCACUACAGCUUCUCAACCUGUUUCUCUCCAGUGUGUUCCCAAAUUCGUGUGUUCAUUUCAUUCCUUGCCAUCAAGAGUCUUCCUUUAAGAGAUUCAUUAUUGCAAGUAGUCUUGACCCCUCCAGCAUCAGGUUAGUACAGGAGGGGGCAUCCAGUCCUCUAGCUCAGGAGAUGGUUAAUCCACACCACACCACACCCAAACCGUGGUCAAGGAAGUUCAGUGUGGGAAGUGAAAGAGUAAAAGGGUUUUUAUCUUCCUUGAAAACCUGAUCUUCCUUGCAUGAGAGAUGGCAGAAGCUGUGGUAAGAGAAACUUGCCUGCAACUGUAACUAUUCUUCAAUUUUUGAGUAAUUGAUAAGAUUAUAAAAUAUAAAGUCAGGGAAGGAGCAAGAACAUUGAGUUAACCAAAUUUAAGCAUGGCUUGUAGAGGGAUUAAUUUACAGCAACUUGCAGCUGAGUGAAAUGUGUAUCAAGUGCCAUUUCAUAUAUGAACAAUCUUACCUGAUGCCUCACCAUUUCCUCAUUGCACUACAAUAAAUUGUCAGCACUUACACAGGCCAGCCUAUGGAGCUCCCCUCUUGUUUUCCCUUCUCCUGGACAUCUGAGAUAUCUUGCACAGCCACUUCCAUCCAACCGCUCUGUGGGAUUGGCGGCAGCGGCAACAAGGACAGUCAGGGUAACUCCUUGGUGGAAUGUAGGGCAUCAGAUUUGUUAACUUGGGAUUGCAGCCACAAACACUGCCUUCAUACUCGCCUGAAAAAAAAUAAAUAAAUAAAAAAAAAUACCAUAACCUUCAAGGUUUGGCUGCACUCGCAGGCAACAACUCCCAACAUCACUGGCAACCGCUCUGCAGUGAGGUACAACACCAUGUAUUAGACUUUGCACAGCAGCAAAGUUGUGUUGCAUACUGUGUUCAUUCUAAGAUUUGCUAAUAAAAAAUUUGUACU